ensembl:snRNA LOC120094420 U6 spliceosomal RNA
GCUCAAUUUGUCAGAACAUAUAACAAAAUUGGAAUGACACACAGAUUAGUAUGGGCUGUACACAAGGAUUACAUGCAAAUUUGUGAAGCAUACCAUAUUGUU